GACGAACGCUGGCGGCGUGCCUAAUACAUGCAAGUAGAACGCACAGUUUAUACCGUAGCUUGCUACACCAUAGACUGUGAGUCGCGAACGGGUGAGUAACGCGUAGGUAACCUGCCUGGUAGCGGGGGAUAACUAUUGGAAACGAUAGCUAAUACCGCAUAAUAUUAAUUAUUGCAUGAUAAUUAAUUGAAAGGUGCAAUUGCACCACUACCAGAUGGACCUGCGUUGUAUUAGCUAGUAGGUGAGGUAACGGCUCACCUAGGCGACGAUACAUAGCCGAACUGAGAGGGUGAUCGGCCACACUGGGACUGAGACACGGCCCAGACUCCUACGGGAGGCAGCAGUAGGGAAUCUUCGGCAAUGGACGAAAGUCUGACCGAGCAACGCCGCGUGAGUGAAGAAGGGUUUCGGAUCGUAAAGCUCUGUUGUAAGAGAAGAACGGGUGUGAGAGUGGAAAGUUCACACUGUGACGGUAUCUUACCAGAAAGGGACGGCUAACUACGUG
rnacentral:rRNA from 1 species